rnacentral:rRNA from 1 species
GGCCAAACUACCCUAUGGACAGAGAUACUCUCGGGAAACUGAGGUUAAUCUCUGAUACAGCUUCCACGCUGGAAUUGCAGGAAGCUAGAAACGCUCCGGCGCCAUAGGAUGUGGCUGCGGCCGAUUAGGUAGACGGUGGGGUAACGGCCCACCGUGCCAGUAAUCGGUACGGGUGAUGAGAGUCAUAACCCGGAGACGGUAUCUGAGACAAGAUACCGGGCCCUACGGGGCGCAGCAGGCGCGAAACCUUUACACUGCACGACAGUGCGAUAGGGGGACUCCGAGUGCGAGGGCAUAUAGUCCUCGCUUUUCUGUACCGUAAGGUGGUACAGGAACAAGUGCUGGGCAAGACCGGUGCCAGCCGCCGCGGU